rnacentral:rRNA from 1 species
UAGGGAAUAUUGCGCAAUGGACGAAAGUCUGACGCAGCAACUCCACGUGUGGGAUGACGCAUUUCGGUGUGUAAACCACUGUCGGAUGGGAAUAAUAACGUGGUGUUGAGCCACGUCUGAAUGUACCAUCAAAGGAAGCAUCGGCUAACUUCGUGCCAGCAGCCGCGGUAAUACGAGGGAUGCGAGCGUUGUUCGGAAUCACUGGGCGUAAAGAGAGCGUAGGCGGGAAGAUAAGUUUGGUGUUUAAAGCUAGGGCCCAACCCUGGUGUGGCACUGAAUACUGUUUUUCUUGAGUAGGUGAGGGGUGAUCGGAAUUCCUGGUGUAGCGGUGGAAUGCGUAGAUAUCAGGAAGAACACCAAUGGCGAAGGCAGAUCACUGGCACCAUACUGACGCUGAGGC